GGACCCGCACAAGCAGCGGAGCAUGUGGUUUAAUUCGAAGCAACGCGAAGAACCUUACCUAGACUUGACAUCUCCUGAAUUACCCUUAAUCGGGGAAGUCCCUUCGGGGACAGGAAGACAGGUGGUGCAUGGUUGUCGUCAGCUCGUGUCGUGAGAUGUUGGGUUAAGUCCCGCAACGAGCGCAACCCUUAUCGUUAGUUGCUACCAUUAAGUUGAGCACUCUAGCGAGACUGCCUGGGUUAACCAGGAGGAAGGUGGGGAUGACGUCAAAUCAUCAUGCCCCUUAUGUCUAGGGCUACACACGUGCUACAAUGGCCGGUACAACAAGCAGCAAACCCGCGAGGGGGAGCCAAACUCAAAAGCCGGUCCCAGUUCGGAUUGCAGGCUGAAACUCGCCUGCAUGAAGUUGGAGUUGCUAGUAAUCGCGAAUCAGCAUGUCGCGGUGAAUACGUUCCCGGGUCUU
rnacentral:rRNA from 1 species